UCCCUGGUGAUCCAGUGGCUAAGACUCUGCACUCUCAAUGCAGGGGGCCUAGGUUCAAUUCCUGGUCAAGGAA
rnacentral:tRNA from 1 species